AAUGCACAUUUACUAUAGUCAGUCACCCUGGUACCAGCCGUGAAGGACGGGCAGGGACACACACACCACACCCCAGACACACACACACCCCCGACACACCACACCCCAGACACCACAUCCCAGACACACACCACACCACACCCCCCCACACACACCUCAGACACCACACCCCCGACCCACACCACACCCCAUACACACCCCCGACACACACCACACCCCACACACCCACCACAGCCCAGACACACCACACCCCAGACACACACCACACCCCCCAGACACACACCACACCCCCCACACACACCACACCCAUCACACCCCCCACACACACACCCGACACACACCACGCCCCCCAACACACACACCCCACACACCACACCCAUCACACCCCCCACACACACACCCGACACACACCACGCCCCCAACACACCACACCCGACACACACACCCCAACACACACCACACCCCAGACACACACCACACCCCAGACACACACCACACCCCAGACACACACCACACCCCACACACACCACACCCCACACACACCACACCCCACACACACCACACCCCACACACCACACACAUACCACACCCCAGACACCACACACAUCACACCCCCCCACACACACCUCAGACACCACACCCCCAACACACACCACACCCCAGACACACACACCCCCCACACACACACCCCAAACACACCCCGACACACACCACACCCCCCACACACACACCACACCCGACACACACCACACCCCAGACACACACCACACCCCAGACACACACACACUACACCCCAGACACAUCCCACACACAUCACACCCCACACACACACCCCAGACACACACCACACCCCACACACACACCCCAGACACACACCACACCCCAGACACACACCACACCCCAGACACACAUGCCACACCCCAGACACACACACCCCAACACACACCACACUCCAGACACACACCAACCCCACACACACCACACCCCAGACACACACACCGUCACACACCACACCCCACACACAUGCCACAGCCCACCCCACAUACGCACCCUACCCCAGACACACACCACACCCCACACACCACACCCCAGAUACACACCACACCCCCCCACACACACCUUAUACACCCCAGACAUAACACACACCCCACACCCCAGACAUACACAUACCCCUGACACACACCACACCCCACCCCAGAUACCACACACCCCACACCCCGACAUACCCCUGACACAGCUCACCCCAGAUACACACCCUACCCCAGAUACACACCAUACCCCAGACACACAACACCCCCCCAACACACACCAUCCCAGUCACAUGCCACACAUCCCAGACACACACCCCACACGCCACAUCCCACACACACACGCCCGACACACCGCACCCCAGACACACACCACACCCACACACAUGCCACACCCCACACAUACACCCCACCCCACACACACAUCACACCCCUCACAACCACACCCCACACACACACCACACCCCACAAACUACAUAGACUAUGCUAGCCACAUACCACACACCAGACACACACACCACACAUGAGCAUGACGUAUACCGCACACAUGCCAUGCACUGUACCCCCCCACACACAUCCCAGACACACAUACCACACACACUACACAGACCACACAGCAGACAUACCACACACCAGCACCACACCCCCUCACACCACAUGCCACACACACCACAUGCCAGCAUCACACACACACCAUACCUCCUUCAUACACACCACACACACAAACCAGACACACACCUACAUACCACACACCACACACCAGCCACACACCACAAACACACCACACACACCACACGCCACGCAUAUAUCAGAUACACCACAUACGUACAGAUACACCACAAUAUACACCACACGACACAUGUACCACAACACACACACACGACAUAACACGCACACACAUCACAAACACAAUCAUGUCCACCACACAACACACACACCAUGUGCAUGCACACAAUAAAUGCACAGCACAAAACAUCACAUACACCAAAUCACACACACCACACACACAUCAAACACCAUACACACAGACCAUGCAUACUCACUGCACAUGUGCACACAUACCAACACACACCACACACACACACUGUACACACACCUAAAACCACCCCCAUACACACCAUACCAAACACAACCACUCACACAUGCACCACACACAGCACAGCAUACAACACACAUCACACACACACCAAUCAUACCACUGUUACACACACACCACCACACAUACUGCACACACCAAAGCACAUACACACCACAUAGACACAUGCACGCUACCCACACCACACCAAUCACAUCCACACAUACACAACCAUACACACACACACACACAUUGUUGACUUAGGAUCGUUUCAACUCACAGUGGGUUUAUUGGGAUGCAGCCCCGUGGCAAGUGGAGCAGCAUGUGUAUUGACAAGGGGAGGAAAGCCGUCUGGAGCUGGUGAAGUAAAGUUAGCAUGCAGCCGAGCUCUGCUCGUCUGAACUGAUGAACCCAAGUUCCUCAUGGAUCACUCAGAAUACAGAUGGGUGAAAAAAUAACCCCACCACCCGUGUGCCAGCACAUAGCGCAUCUGGCAUACAAACGUAAGGAUCAAUAGCGAUGAAUGGCGAUGGGUUGUG
rnacentral:lncRNA from 1 species